AAGACAAAACUUGCUGUGUGUUUUUGUGUUUUUAAGAUGUAAAGCCCUUUUAAUUGCCUUGUUGCUCAAAUGUGCUAUACCAAUAAACUUGAUUGAUUGAUUG